rnacentral:rRNA from 1 species
UACGAAGGGGGCUAACGUUGCUCGGAAUUACUGGGCGUAAAGCGCACGUAGGCGGUCUUUUAAGUCGGUGGUGAAAUCCUGGAGCUCAACUCCAGAACUGCCUUCGAUACUGGAAGACUUGAGUCCGGGAGAGGUGAGUGGAACUGCGAGUGUAGAGGUGAAAUUCGUAGAUAUUCGCAAGAACACCAGUGGCGAAGGCGGCUCACUGGCCCGGUACUGACGCUGAGGUGCGAAAGCGUGGGGAGCAAACAGG